GACCAGCUCCUGAAAAGUUACCUGUCAACUCAUACUUCUUGUGAGGCUGAUUUUCCAUCUCACGGAAUGAGCUGCUGCGUUUUGGAGACAAGGAGACAGACACAGUUAUAACGUUAGUUCAAUCUGAUCUUGUAAAAUGACUGUCCGGGUUUUAGAAGGAAGCAUGGGUAAUCGGGGCAAAUAUGGAACUAUGGAUGAAGAAGAUGCUGUCCUUCCAAGUUCUUCUGCCACUUCUGUAAGAAACAUCAGGGGAAUAGUUGGAACAGAGAGCA